rnacentral:lncRNA from 1 species
UCAGGCCCCAGCAGAGCCCUAGCCUAGGACGUUGCAGGCACAGGAGAGCUACCCAACCUUGACCGCCCCCCAACCCUGGCCCAACCACCUCCACACACCCUAGGACUCCAUCCAAAAGCCUGUCCUCUGGAGUCCGGAUCCGCUUGGACCAGCAGCCAUGUCUUCCCUCCCGGAGCCUUCUCCAUCCAAAGGAGGGGAAGCCACCAGCUCCCACCCUGCCGUGGGACCAACGCCUCUGAGCCACUGUCCGUCGGGCCUGCGUGACCACAGACACCCUCGCUGAGCCCGCUGGGGAGGGCCCUUG